GAGUACAAAUAAUCAGGGCACCCUGGCGAGGAGGAGGAGAGAGAUGUGGUAGAAGAACAUACCCCACCCCCAGUGAAGAAUUAGAAGAAGAAUAGCACGUCGGCCGAUCGCGGUCCGUCCAAGAAGAAGAAGCUAGGCAUCACGCCAGGCCAGCUGGUACCUUCAAGUCUAGAGUACACGAGCAUGAGGAUGAGGACCACCAGCCUCCUCCUUGCCACCGGCGUCGUUGUUGCCGUCGUCUGCGCCGCUGUCACCCCCACACCCGGGUGGAAAUCCUGCGACGACGGCCCCAAGAUCGACGAGCUCGCAAAGUGGGGGCUGGCGGAGAUGAAUGAAGCAAGGCCUCCAGUUGAGCAGCGUGCUCCGUUGCGAGGAGCAAGGCCAAGGCGGUCAAGGAAUCAUCUAUCGUAUCCUGCUGGACGCGGUCGACCACACCGGCGGGAUGGGCCACUUCACGGCGGACGUGUACGAGGAGGCGGCGACCAAAGUGCGUAAGCUCCUCUACUUCGGCAAAGCCCCGGGGUAGGUAGCGGCCGGGUUGGCAGGACUAGUUAGCCGGUAUUUCCCAUGUGGAUGGAGUAUCAAGCGUGUUUGUCUUUUGUUUCGCACCACUAAUAAGAUGUUGCAAGAAAA